UUUGCGCCGCAGGCCGUUGGCCCGGCCGGCCAGCUCGAGGCUGGCCAGCAGGCGCAGCAGGUCCCACUCCCACGGCCCGGGGCC
rnacentral:tRNA from 1 species